rnacentral:ncRNA from 2 species
UUAAAUAUAGUUGAGUCAGGUGCCCAUAUGGGCUUAAUAGGGAAGACCGGUGUAACACCGGCGCGGUCCCGCCACUGUAAUGGGGAGUGAAUCCAAGAAUAUGCCACUGGGACGAGAGUCUUGGGAAGGUUUGGAUGAGUUAUGAUCCAGAGCCAGGAGAACUGCCUGUCUAAAGAUCGCCGU